rnacentral:rRNA from 1 species
CCCAGACUCCUACGGGAGGCAGCAGUGGGGGAUAUUGCACAAUGGGGGGAACCCUGAUGCAGCGACGCCGCGUGGGUGAAGGAGCGUUUCGGCGCGUAAAGCCCUAUCGGCAGGGAAGAAGGAGGACGGUACCUGACUAAGAAGCCCCGGCUAACUACGUGCCAGCAGCCGCGGUAAUACGUAGGGGGCAAGCGUUAUCCGGAUUUACUGGGUGUAAAGGGGGCGCAGACGGCAGCGCAAGCCAGGAGUGAAAGCCCGGGGCCCAACCCCGGGACUGCUCUUGGAACUGCGCGGCUGGAGUGCAGGAGGGGCAGGCGGAAUUCCUGGUGUAGCGGUGAAAUGCGUAGAUAUCAGGAGGAACACCGGUGGCGAAGGCGGCCUGCUGGACUGCGACUGACGUUGAGGCCCGAAAGCGUGGGGAGCAAACAGGAUUAGAUACCCCAGUACG